rnacentral:rRNA from 1 species
AGCGAACGCUGGCGGCAGGCUUAACACAUGCAAGUCGGGCGGGCACUUUCGGGUGUCAGCGGCGGACGGGUGAGUAACGCGUGGGAACGUGCCCUCUGGUUCGGAAUAACUCAGGGAAACUUGAGCUAAUACCGGAUACGCCCUUUUGGGGAAAGGCUUGCUGCCGGAGGAUCGGCCCGCGUCUGAUUAGCUAGUUGGUGAGGUAACGGCUCACCAAGGCGACGAUCAGUAGCUGGUCUGAGAGGAUGAUCAGCCACACUGGGACUGAGACACGGCCCAGACUCCUACGGGAAGCAGCAGUGGGGAAUAUUGGACAAUGGGCGCAAGCCUGAUCCAGCCAUGCCGCGUGAGUGAUGAAGGCCUUAGGGUUGUAAAGCUCUUUUAUCCGGGACGAUAAUGACGGUACCGGAGGAAUAAGCCCCGGCUAACUUCGUG